GAAGAAAUCAGACAACGAAAUUUGAUUAACAACCUAUUUACUGAAAAAUCAAUAUCAACACCACAGAGGAAGAACAAUUAUUAAUCGACAUUUCAUCUAAUUCUUCGUUGUCACUUUUAGGAUUUUGGAAUAACAUUUAAAAUGAAUACUCUGAAAUUGCCAACAAAUCUUUGCGUGUAUUUUCCCAUUUAUUAUGAAAACUUCUGGGAAAGUACCACCUCAGUCCAAUUUCUUUUUAGAAAAGUGCUACACUUCGAAGCAAAAUGUCUAAUAGAAAAGUUGUUUAUAAAAAUAAAAAUAAAAAAACAUUGUAAAGCAAUACAUUCAUCGAUCCUCUCAGAAUCUAAAAUAUGAAUGACUGAGGUAUAAUACCGUGUGUGAGGUACGUAUAUAGGGGGAGUAGGGGUUCACCCACCCCGAAAAUUUUUUUAAUGUUGAAAAUUAUACACAACAUAUUUUACAUAUUCUAUUUUAUUUAUGAGGUAUAAAAUACACUUUUUUUUUUUAAACGAAAAACAAGCACAUUGUUCGCAUUAAAAUUAAAUACCUAC